UGAAACCUCCUCUCCAAUCAUUUGGGCAUCACACAAGUUCUACACAAUCAUUUGCAUUUCCAUCCAUCAAUCUUUCAAGAACCAACCCUAAAUUAAUUUACGGUCACGUGUAACGGACCUGGCAUUUCAUUAAUGCGUAGAAGUACGUUACAAUACCAAGCAAACUAAGGUUGUUAGAUGCAUCACGAAAUGGAACUUACAGUCUGGGAAGCCGGUGUCGUCAUGGGUCGUGUCGUUUGUGAAGACAUUUAAUAUUUACUGAUGUUUCUUAACAAAAUGGUGUUGGAUUGGUUAAACGAUAAAUUAUGUUUCCGCUGAACAUAUACUUGUUUUAAUAAGAUAUUUUGAA